UUUAGACGCGUCUGCUGUCGCUCUGUUCAAAUCGUGUCAGCACGUCGGACGUGGAGCUUGUGAGUCUUCGUUUGGGCAAGAAUAGUGAAAACCUCUUCGUCCUUAGCUUCUGCAGGAAGGCGUGCAUUGGACCUUUCUCUCAUUGAGUGAGGCGUCGACCGCUUGUGGCGGGUCUUCUGGUGACGGGUUGCCCCCGCGAGUACCUCAAGACGAACUGAGUUUUUGGGAAGGGGUAUUCGUAGAAAGGUUAGCUGCCGGCCGAGAUGUCCAGCUACAUGAACGACCUGUGGCCGAGUUCGCCGCCCAAGGCCUCGCCCUCGUCCUUGAGGUCGGGCCCGUGCAGCCGACCAUCGUCGGCCUCCGGGAGCCGCUCUCCGUCCCGUUCCAGCGUCUCGAGCCGGUCGUGGUCGCGGAGCCGCAGCCCGCCCGGGCGGAGGAGCCGCUCCAGGUCUCGCUCCCGAAGGCGCCAUCAGAGGAGGUACCGGCGCUACUCGCGCUCCUACUCGCGGAGCCACUCGCGUUCCCGCAGCCGCCGGUACCGGGAGAGGCACUCAGGCUCCACCCGGAGGUCCUACCGGUCUCGCAGCCGCUCCCGCUGCCGUUUGUAUUACCGGAGGGCCUACGCCAUCGGGCGAGGCCGCCGCUACUACGGCUUCGGCCGCACCGUCUACCCCGAGGAGCGCAGAAGCUGGAGGGGGCGAUCCCGGAGCAGGUCGCGGAGCCCAACCCCCUUUCGUUUGAGCGAGAAAGAUCGAAUGGAGUUGUUAGAAAUAGCCAAAGCCAAUGCAGCGAAAGCAUUAGGAACAGCCAACUUUGACUUGCCAGCUAGUCUCAGAAGUGUUCCUGUAUCUAAAGAAAGAAACCAGGAAACAGCUGUACUGAAUAAUGGUGCAAAGUCUGAGAAAUCAUGAAUGUGGUCUCCAGACAUUGAUGAAGAAAGUCUGUUGGUAAUUGAUACAUGCGCAAAAGCAUCAGAGGUUAAACUAAUUUGAAGUCUAUGUGGACACACCGAAAGCUUAGUUUUUUGUUGGUAGAUUCCGAUGCAUGCUAGAAUUUGGGGCAAGCACUAUUUGGAUAAGAUACUAAAGACAAUUUUUAAAUGAAAGUGUACUUUGUAAUGGUGGGGCGUCUGAUACAGAUGUCCCUUUCAUAAUAUAUGCAAUAUAUUCCAGAUAUUUUGAGAGAUUACAGAAGAAGAGGCCUGCUUCAUUUGCAGAUAAGUUUAUUAUAAUUCUCCAGAAAUGUGCAGCAUAAAAUGCAUAGCUUUAAAGGUUUAAGAUAAUUAGGGAUUGAUACAUUCAGUUAACAUAGGAACUGAUGGGUUAUCUCCUAUCAUGCAGACCCAGAUGUGGGUUUGCCUAAGCAUUAGUGGUGAACAAAGAAGAGUUGAUUUUUCAGGUGAUUAGGUACCCAACUGGAUGGGCAAAUGUCUUAGUUCUUUUGAAGCUAGGUAUUUUUUGGUAUGAUUUUUCACAGUUACGUGAAUUUAUAUCACAGGGAUAUAUACAAUACUGCUUUAUGGAGAAUAGUGUCUUAAAUCAUUGAAUCAAUUUUGUUAUGGGAAAAACUUAACAAAAGUACUAUGUUAUUUUAGUUUGACUGGUUAGAUCAAACUUGAUUUGUGUCUCUACAAGUAAAUUUAUAAUACAAUUAGACCGCUUUUUAUACCUACAAGGGUAUGACUUCUAAAAUUUACUUUCUUUUAUCUGUCUAGCUAUCGGACAAGUUAACAGAAGAUGGAAUAAAAAAUGCCAGUGAAAAGUCUUAUCAGCAAAAAAGCAUCGCUUUUAGCUCUAACAAUUCUGUAGCAAAGCCUAUGCUUCAGAAAUCAGUUAAAGCUACUGCUGAAGAGAAUUCUUCAGG